AUGACUCAGAGAGAAAGGGCAGCAAGAGAGGAAGACCAGGAGGUCGGAGACCUUGCUUCUGAUGUCUUUUCUAUUUCUUUCACUCCAAAGCAUGUGAAGUUACCAUACUAAGAGGUGUAUUUUGAGCCCUAACAAUGUGAAUGUCAGCACUGUGGGAGUGCAGCUAUGACAAGGAUUGCAAGAUGGAACAUCACACAAGAACAAGGGAAACACCAGAGCAAUGACAAGUGGGGGCCGUUGCAUAUCCACAGAAAUAAAAACAAAAAAGAAGAAGAAUAGCUUCUAUCUGCCACCAGCCAGGUUCACCACCACUGAAGUUGCCACUCCGGGCCACACCACCAGCCAACAAGAUGAGAGGAGUGCGCGCACUUUGCCAGGCCUGGAUCUGUGACAACAGUUUCCAUCUCUUCCCAUUGCCGAAGCCCUGAACAACAAAGGAAAAACAUUCUAAG